rnacentral:rRNA from 1 species
UACGUAGGGGGCAAGCGUUGUCCGGAUUUACUGGGCGUAAAGAGCGUGUAGGCGGCCACGCAGGUCCGUUGUGAAAACUGGAGGCUCAACUUCCAGCCGUCGACGGAAACCGUGUGGCUAGAGUCCGGAAGAGGAGAGUGGAAUUCCUGGUGUAGCGGUGAAAUGCGCAGAUAUCAGGAAGAACACCAAUGGCGAAGGCAGCUCGCUGGGACGUGACUGACGCUGAGACGCGAAAGCGUGGGGAGCAAACAGG